UACGUAGGGUGCGAGCGUUAACCGGAAUUACUGGGCGUAAAGGGCUCGUAGGUGGCCAACUAAGUCAGACGUGAAAUCCCUGGGCUUAACCGGGGAACUGCGUCUGAUACUGGAUGGCUUGAGUUUGGGAGAGGGAUGCGGAAUUCCAGGUGUAGCGGUGAAAUGCGUAGAUAUCUGGAGGAACACCGGUGGCGAAGGCGGCAUCCUGGACCAAUACUGACACUGAGGAGCGAAAGCCAGGGGAGCAAACGGG
rnacentral:rRNA from 1 species